GACGAACGCUGGCGGCGUGCUUAACACAUGCAAGUCGAGCGGUAAGGCCCUUUCGGGGGUACACGAGCGGCGAACGGGUGAGUAACACGUGGGUGACCUGCCCUCAGCUCUGGGAUAAGCCUGGGGAAACUGGGUCUAAUACUGGAUAUGACUCCACGGUGCAUGUCGUGGGGUGGAAAGCCUUGUGCGGCUGAGGAUGGGCCCGCGGCCUAUCAGCUUGUUGGUGGGGGAUGGCCUACCAAGGCGACGACGGGUAGCCGGCCUGAGAGGGCGACCGGCCGACACUGGGACUGAGACACGGCCCAGACUCCUACGGGAGGCAGCAGUGGGGAAUCUUGCGCAAUGGGCGAAAGCCUGACGCAGCGACGCCGCGUGAGGGAUGACGGCCUCGGU
rnacentral:rRNA from 1 species